rnacentral:tRNA from 2 species
UGCCCCGUGGCUGAGUUGGUUACAGCGGUUGACUGUUAUUAUUACCAUGUGGUAAUUUAACUGAUCAGACGGUCGAGAGUUCGAGUCUCUCCGGGGCAG